GGCUAGGCUACCUUGAGUGUUCUCUCUUACAUUGAAGCACAGGACUUGAAAACAUUGUUUGCUCCUGGGUAUGUAACAUUUAGUCUUCAAGCCAUAAACCAUGAUUGAUUCCCUAGGGAAAGACAUUCCUUCCUGACCCCCCAGCCCAAGGGCCAUUUCUACAGAUUUCACUCUGUCUAUGCCACUGAUACAUUGAUUUCCUGACAGAUUUCAUUAUCAGCAACAUAAAUAUCAAUUUUCCUCAACAAAUUAAAGGGAAUGUACUAGAUCUAGAUUGGCAUGGCUUGAUCUCAGAACGAUUGUUGAAGAAAGAUAUGUGUAGCAUGACACCAUUCACAUAAAUGCCAGGACCGGCUUCCAAGAAUGUAAGUGCAAUGAAGCCAAGGAGUUGAUUUUGUUCCCUCAUCAGCCAACACCUGAAACGGUGCUUAACCCCACUGACACAGGCUCACCAUGGGCAUUGGCUUCAUCAGUGAGCUUCCCUGACCUGCACAGGAAAGCCUUGGGACUUGUGUGACCAGUGACAUGGGAGUGGAAGGUGCCCAUGUCAUGUGCACCAAGAUUUUUAAAGCUCUCAGGUAGUCCAAAAGUGCAG